rnacentral:rRNA from 1 species
UACGUAGGGCGCAAGCGUUGUCCGGAAUUAUUGGGCGUAAAGAGCUCGUAGGCGGUCUGUCGCGUCGGUUGUGAAAACACAAGGCUCAACCUUGUGCCUGCAAUCGAUACGGGCAGACUAGAGUACUGCAGGGGAGACUGGAAUUCCUGGUGUAGCGGUGGAAUGCGCAGAUAUCAGGAGGAACACCGGUGGCGAAGGCGGGUCUCUGGGCCGAUACUGACGUGAGGAGCGAAAGCGUGGGGAGCGAACAGG